rnacentral:rRNA from 1 species
AACGAACGCUGGCGGCAGGCCUAACACAUGCAAGUCGAACGCCCUAGCAAUAGGGAGUGGCAGACGGGUGAGUAACGCGUGGGAACGUACCCUUCGGUUCGGAAUAACCCAGGGAAACUUGGACUAAUACCGGAUACAUGCGAGAGCAGAAAGAUUUAUCGCCGAAGGAUCGGCCCGCGUCCGAUUAGCUAGUUGGUGAGGUAAUGGCUCACCAAGGCGACGAUCGGUAGCUGGCUGAGAGGAUGAUCAGCCACACUGGGACUGAGACACGGCCCAGACUCCUACGGGAGGCAGCAGUGGGGAAUAUUGGACAAUGGGCGCAAGCCUGAUCCAGCCAUGCCGCGUGAGUGAUGAAGGCCCUAGGGUUGUAAAGCCCUUUCGGUGGGGGAAGAAAAGUCUCGACCUAAUACGUCGGGACCUUGACGUAACCCACUAAAGAAGCACCGGCUAACU